ACAUUCUUGUAUGGGAAGAAGAAACAUAUAAUUAACCCUGUGCACUGAGUGUUGUUUGGAUGUCGAUGGCCUUCACAAAUUAAAGGAGGAUUCGACGAGACAUUGUGGAGGUGACGCACUCGCCGGUGAGGAGCUCCGGGUCANNNNNNNNNNCCUUGUAUGGGAAGAAGAAAGAUAUAAUUAACCCUGUGAACUGACUGUUGUUUGGAUGCCGAUGGCCGUCACCAAUUAAAGGAGGACUCACCAAGACAUUGUGGAGGUGACGCACUCGCCGGUGAGGAGCUCCGGGUCAAGACAGCAGCGGCCGACGAGCAGAGUCCACUCGUGGAGGAGGUCAUCCGGCUGAUUGGUAUAUGCCUUUUGUACAUUCUUGCCUGCAACAAGAACUUCGACUGGUUUGAUUUGGUUGAGUUUGAUUUGAUUAUGUAGUUGCAGACUUGCGGUAGUGUUUAAUUCUCUGAUGCAGCAUUUGCUUUGUAGGUCUUUCUGUUGGUGAACGUCGCAUGGGAAACAAAAUUUUCCUACGCGCACGAAGACCUAUCAUGGUGAUGUCCAUC
rnacentral:lncRNA from 1 species